CCGGGAAGGGCCGGGACGCCCGGUAGCGAGCAGGCAGACUAGAGCCAGCUGAACGACGUAACACUGUGCCAUGCUUCGCAAUGUCCUAGGAAAAACCUUUCGAUUUCUUGGGUAUACUGUGCAAUAUGGCUGCAUAGCACAUUGUGCCUUUGAGUACCUUGGAGGAAUUGUUGUGUGUUCUGGACCUUCAAUGGAACCAACCAUUCAAAAUUCUGAUAUUGUCUUCUCGGAGAACCUUAGCCGCCACUUUUAUUGCAUUCGAAAAGGAGAUAUUGUAAUUGUGAAAAGCCCAAAUGACCCCAAAUCAAAUAUCUGUAAAAGAGUAAUUGGCUUGGAAGGGGAUAAAGUCUGCACAAGCAACCCUUCAGAUUUCUUUAAGAGUCACAGCUAUGUGCCUAAAGGACAUGUUUGGUUAGAAGGUGAUAAUCUCAGGAAUUCUACAGAUUCCAGGUGCUAUGGACCUGUUCCUUAUGGACUGAUAAGAGGACGCAUUUGUUUUAAGGGCCCAACCAACUGAUGGCAACUUAUCAGAGUGCUGCAAGCGGCCAGACAGAGACAAGUCUAAGGAGCUUCCAGCAGUGCAUGGUCCCAGACUAGUAGUAAACUGGUGCUACAUCUUGCUGUGCCCAUCCUUAACUGCCUCUUUUGUCAUUGUCUUUAGUGCUGGGGCCAAGUCAUGGAGUUUUGAAAUAUUGGACCUUGGCACUGUGCUUCCUCUUUCAAACUGAGAAAAUUACUUUUUCACUCCAUACAGAGUGCAGCAAACACAGGGCCGUUCCAUGAACUCAGUUAAAGAGUAAGAUGCUGUUCCUGGAAGGUGACUGCAUACCUUCCUUAAGAUCACAUUCUAAGGAAAAAGAAGCAAGCUAAACAUCAAACUGAGAGAUGCUUUGAGAACAAGGAAGUGCAUCAUCCUUCUCUCUACCCAGGUUGCUUCAUCUUGAGCAGGAGCGGUGAGAUUUUUAUGGGAUUAGAGCCACAGGGAGCAUUCGUUUUUCAACAUCAUCUCCUUCUUCCUGCUGAGCCGCUUGUGCUGUCUUUGAGAGAAUGUGUUGAAGAGACACAGGGACUCAAGGGAGACAAGGGACGGAGUGUAAAAGAAUGUCCUUGAUUCCCUAUUAUUUUUUUUUGCAUUCAAGACUAGCCUACAUGUAAUUAGUGAGUGCGCAGAGGAAAGUACUCCUGGGAACACUGAGGAAUAUGAACAGUUAUUUAGUUAAUUUCUGGAGAGAAAGGGUUUUUUCUUACUGGCAAGCACCAUUCCCUGACAGUCAUGGAUUUGUGCUCCUUUUUCUCCAUAUCAGUCCUCUUCUCUGAGGAGACCUGUGGUUGAGGGCCCCUGAUAGUUUCAGGCAUUCCACGCCUUUAUAUCUAUUUGCAUGGUCUAAGCUUACUUAUAAGCCCAAGAUUUUUUUCCCAAGAUUUUAUGUUUGCAGUUGAAAUACCCAUCUUGAGAACACAAAUGUACACCUCACAGAACUACUGCCACUGGGAAGGAAUGUUUGUGGUGGUAUUUCUUGUCCUGAAUGGAUCAAAAAGAUAUACUUUGUCUUUCAAGUGGAGGGCUUUAGGAGCUAGAAAGCUUUGAAUUUGAAAGAUACUUUCUAGGAAUGUAUUUACUUCCAAGGCUGAAAAAAAGUGAUUUGGGAGGCUGUCCAUAGCAAAGCAUGCUGUGUAUAAAUUAGUGUUGUCUCUUGCCACUAUGGAAUGGUGAUUCUUUCUGAGAGAAUUUAUUACUCUGAGGAAAAGACACACACAGAUAUGGCCUCUGAAUGACUUUGGAUUUCUUCGUGCAAGCCCUAAUAGCCAUAGAUUCCUUGAUGACUAAAACAUUUAAAUGACUGUUACCAGCUUUCAUAAUAUUUUCUACUAAAAACAAUGGAACUAUUUUUGUUUAGAAUAAAUGCAAGUAUUACUUGACAA